rnacentral:rRNA from 1 species
AGGUGCUGCAUGGCUGUCGCCAGCUCGUGUCGUGAGAUGUUGGUUAAGUCCCGCAACGAGCGCAACCCUUGUCAUUAGUUGCUACAUUCAGUUGGGCACUCUAAUGAGACUGCCGUGACAAACCGGAGGAAGGUGGGGAUGACGUCAAGUCCUCAUGGCCCUUAUAGGUGGGGCUACACACGUCAUACAAUGGAUGGUACAAAGGGUCGCCAACCCGCGAGGGGGAGCCAAUCCCAUAAAGCCAUUCGUAGUCCGGAUCGCAGUCUGCAACUCGACUGCGUGAAGUCGGAAUCGCUAGUAAUCGUGGAUCAGAAUGUCACGGUGAAUACGUUCCCGGGUCUU